CUAAGGGAGGCAGCAGUGGGGAAUAUUGGACAAUGGGCGAAAGCCUGAUCCAGCCAUGCCGCGUGUGUGAAGAAGGCCUUCGGGUUGUAAAGCACUUUCAGUGGGGAAGAAAGCCUUGGGGCUAAUACCCUCGAGGAAGGACAUCACCCACAGAAGAAGCACCGGCUAACUCCGUGCCAGCAGCCGCGGUAAUACGGAGGGUGCGAGCGUUAAUCGGAAUUACUGGGCGUAAAGCGCGCGUAGGCGGUCUGAUAAGCCGGUUGUGAAAGCCCCGGGCUCAACCUGGGAACGGCAUCCGGAACUGUCAGGCUAGAGUGCAGGAGAGGAAGGUAGAAUUCCCGGUGUAGCGGUGAAAUGCGUAGAGAUCGGGAGGAAUACCAGUGGCGAAGGCGGCCUUCUGGACUGACACUGACGCUGAGGUGCGAAAGCGUGGGUAGCAAACAGGAUUAGAUACCCGAGUAGUC
rnacentral:rRNA from 1 species